rnacentral:rRNA from 1 species
CCUACGGGAGGCAGCAGUGGGGAAUAUUGCACAAUGGGCGCAAGCCUGAUGCAGCCAUGCCGCGUGUAUGAAGAAGGCCUUCGGGUUGUAAAGUACUUUCAGUGGGGAGGAAGGCGAUGAAGUUAAUAACUUCGUCGAUUGACGUUACCCGCAGAAGAAGCACCGGCUAACUCCGUGCCAGCAGCCGCGGUAAU